GUAUUUCAGGACAGCCAGGAGGGGGCGCACAUCCGCCGAGAAACUGUGAGCAAGAGCGUCUGUGCUGAACCAUGGCGCCACCAGAGGGCGCGCGAUCCCGCCGCAACCAACUUCCCGCUGAGGUGCCAGAAGCAGCGAGGAGCUUCGACUUCCUCAGGGCAGCACGGGGGUCGCGUUAACUUGGUGUUCUUCAUUGAUGAUGAUUAUUCCCCACCUUCUAAGAGACAAAGACCAACGAGCCACCACAGCCACCAGUCCCAGAACCCGCCAAUGCUGGGGAACGGAAAAUGAGGGAGUUCAACUCUGGCCCUCACAAUCCAGUGGAGGAGACGAAACUCAUCUGCCUCUGUCCCUCUGGGCACGCCUCAUGCCAGGUGCAUCUGUGGACAGGGGCCAUGCUCCUGGGCUUCCAAAGUUGGAGAAAGCUGCCAGGCUCAGGUCUGAAGGCCAGAAUUCUACAGUAAGUCCUACUGAGUCAAGGUGGGAGCAGGGUCGGUAGCUUCCGAGGCUCUGCGGGAGAAUCCGUUUCCUGGCCGUAGAGGUGGCCUGCACUCUGCAGCUUGUGCUGCCCGUCUCGAAUGACUGGAGUUUCCUGCUUCUGUCACUACACCUCCCACCCUCUCCAUCACCUGCUCUGCUCUUACAAGGAUCCGAAGAAAUGGAAUCAUCGUAUCGCUGAUCUACGUAAACAAACUGAAGAAUUGUCUGAAAGAAAAUAUGACAUGAACUUAUGAAUUCAACAGGUGAAGAUUUACAACUUGAUAAAUCAACUUUGUCAGCUCGAGCUGUAAAAGCCAAAGGUCCGGUGAUGAUCCCAUACCCUUUUUUCCAGUCUCAUGUUGAAGAUUUUUAUGUAGAAGGCCUUCCCAAAGGAAUUUUUUUUUUUUUUUUUUUUUUGAGAUGGAGUUUUCACUCUUAUCGCCCAGGCUGGGGUGCAAUGGCGCAACCUUGCUGGUCACUGCAACCUCUGCCUCCUGGGUUCAAGAAAUUCUCCUGCCUUAGCCUCCCAAGUCACUGGGAUUACAGGUGCCCACCACCACACCAGGCUAAUUUUUGUAUUUUUAGUGGAGAUGCGGUUUCACC
rnacentral:misc_RNA from 1 species